rnacentral:rRNA from 1 species
CUACGGGCGGCAGCAGUGGGGAAUAUUGCACAAUGGGGGAAACCCUGAUGCAGCAACGCCGCGUGGAGGAUGACGCAUUUCGGUGUGUAAACUCCUUUUAUAUAGGAAGAUAAUGACGGUACUAUAUGAAUAAGCACCGGCUAACUCCGUGCCAGCAGCCGCGGUAAUACGGAGGGUGCAAGCGUUACUCGGAAUCACUGGGCGUAAAGCGCGCGACGGCGGCCCCUUAAGUUGGAUGUGAAAGCCUACGGCUUAACCGUAGAACUGCAUCCAAAACUGAGGGGCUAGAGUCUGGGAGGGGAAGAUGGAAUUAGUUGUGUAGGGGUAAAAUCCGUAGAGAUAACUAGGAAUACCAACAGCGAAGGCGAUCUUCUGGAACAGUACUGACGCUGAGGCGCGAAAGCGUGGGGAGCAAACAGGAUUAGAUACCCGAGUAGUC